CUGCGCUGGUUAAAAGCGAAAAGGUCGACUUUUGAGAUAGUCACUUUUGUGAGAGUCACAUUUCAGCAGUCUACAUUCCUUGGUUACCUAAACGUUUCAACGGCAAGAGGACUCUGUUUGAUUUCGAUUAGCGAUCAAGCCAAAACGUUUACCAAAAUGUCUCAUACCAUGCAAGCGUUUGACAAUACAACCUCUAUGACUGUGAGUGAAGUCUAUGAUUUGACAAAGCAGAAAUACUACACGAAGAAGAGGGGUCAAUGUACGUGCGGCUUUUUGAAUCGGAAAGUUUCUAUUCGUGUUUGGCGCAUUUUGCUGUUUCUGUUCAUCCUACUGGUGUUAAUUCUAUUGGAAGGUUUGUUGGUGGCAUUUUACGGUCCUAGCCUGGAGACCAUCUUUUGAAAAACUCUAGCUAACCUGGAACAGGUCUUCUGUGAUCUAACAGAGAAGAAAAGAACUGAUGGUCACUCACACUGCAUGGAGUUUAUCUGAAUAUGUGUUAAUAACGUAUCACUCAAUCAACAGAAGUUCUAUGUAUACUAUAUAUAACCGUAGAAUCUCAAGGCCCAUGUAUAUAUUUAUGUAGUGGACUAGGACUUUUAUACAUUCGUGCAGUCUAGAUACCAUAUCUUUUUGCUGUGGAAUGCAUCACUGGACAGAAACUAAUUACGCUUAUUUGGGGAAGAAUCUUCAUAUUCAUUAGCUGUAUUUUUUUUUUCGGUUAAUCAACCAAAUAAAGAAAAUUGUAAUUCAUGGAUUUACCGAUAGUAUUUCUAUAAUUAGCUGCUACAUGGUGUACUUUACUUUAUGCAAUAAGCAGCUACAGGAAACAAACACUCCCUAGAAUUUUGCAUUGCAUUUGCCUUCCUUUGCACACUAGCUAAGAAAAUAUUCUUUGUUCGGAAGAAAGUUUUGUGCUUAAAUGUGUGGCAAUUGUGCAAAUUCAUAGCAAAUCAGUUCUUGCUCUUAAUUUGACAAAUUUAGAGCAAACUAUCAGCAAAUAUGUACAUUUGCAUUCCUUGAGCAGACGUAUUCAAAAAAUAGGAGUAAAAAAAUUAUUUUGCUCCAUA